AGGACGAACGCUGGCGGCGUGCCUCACACAUGCAAGUCGAGCGGAAAGGCCCUUCGGGGUACUCGAGCGGCGAACGGGUGAGUAACACGUGAGUAACCUGCCCUUAGCACCGGGAUAGCUCCGGGAAACCGGAAUUAAUACCGGAUAUGACCACGAUCGGCAUCGGUCGUGGUGGAAAGGAUUCCGGCUAGGGAUGGACUCGCGGCCUAUCAGCUAGUUGGUUGGGGUAACGCCCACCAAGGCGACGACGGGUA
rnacentral:rRNA from 1 species